AGCGAACGUUAGCGGCGGGCCUAACACAUGCGAGUCGAACGCGAAAGGUCUUCGGACUGAGUAGAGUGGCGCACGGGUGAGUAACACGUAGGUAAUCUACCCUUUGGCGGGGGAUAACGUUCCGAAAGGAGCGCUAAUACCGCAUAAGACCACGGAGUCUCCGGACGCUGUGGGAAAAGGUGGCCUCUUCUUGAAAGCUACCACCGAAGGAUGAGCCUGCGUCCCAUCAGCUAGUUGGUAAGGUAAUGGCUUACCAAGGCGAAGACGGGUAGCUGGUUUGAGAGAAUGAUCAGCCACACUGGCGCUGGAACACGGGCCAGACUCCUACGGGAGGCAGCAGUGAGGAAUAUUGGGCAAUGGGCGAAAGCCUGACCCAGCCACGCCGCGUGAGUGAUGAAGGCCCUCGGGUCGUAAAGCUCUGUGGAGAGGGACGAAAACCCUGGUUUCAAAUAGGCUCCAGGCUUGACGGUACCUCUUUAGCAAGCACCGGCUAACUCUGUGCCAGCAGCCG
rnacentral:rRNA from 1 species